CUUUCUUCCGGUCUUUUAGAGCAUCAUCUUCACUGUGUCCUGUACCUGUGCUUCUCUGCGUUGUCUCCAGUGCUUGCCGUUUUCAUUGCUCUUUCUUAGCUUAAUGCGUUCCUGGUCGCCUAAAGUAGACUUGGAAAAUCAGAAAACACAAGCACGUUUGGAAUUCAUCUCCUACCCAGAGCUCCGACUUGGAUCAUUAACUGCCUGGAAACGAUCCAAGACAACAGAUGAUACUCAGCUAGAACACUGAACUAUUAAAGCAUUUGGAUGAAAUAUUAACGUGAACAAUCCGCAGGCUUUCCCAGGACUAGAGUCAAUGAGACCAACCAGUUCCAAUGCAAACAAAAGUGAAGCAUGGCUGUGAAUCGGCUUUCAAGCCCUUAAGUCAUCCUGUCUGAAUCAAUAAUGAAGCACAUGGUGUUAGAAGACCCUAAGUAACAAUGAGACAUGCCAUAUUCCUGAAUUGGAAAAGGCACUGCUUUGGAAAUG
rnacentral:lncRNA from 1 species